UUGGGCUAUGGGGGGGAGCGAGUGCAAAGGAAAACCGCAUUAGGCUGCGGCAAACGCACAACACGUCAUUGCACAUAAAAUCAUAUUCGACAUUGGGUGUUUUUUUUUUUUUUUUUUUUUCCUGCUCAUGUCACAAUACUUGAGUGGAACCUGCGAGAUAGAACGCAUUUGGAGCAACAAAAAAAAAUAAAAAAAUAAAAAAUUGGAAAGGAAAAGACAAUAUCUUGUCUGCUGGUUAAAUCCAUCCAUCCAUUUACUGAGCCGCUUCUCCUCACUAGGGUCGCGGGCGUGCUGGAGCCUAUCCCAGCCAUCGACGGGCAGGAGGUGGGGUACACCCUGAACUGGUUGCCAGCCAAUCGCAGGACACAUACAAACAAACAACCAUUCGCACUCUCAUUCACACCUACGGGCAAUUUAAAGCUGUCAAUUAACCUACCAUGCAUGUUUUUGGGAUGUGGGAGGAAACCGGAGUGCCCGGAGAAAACCCACGCAGGCACGGGGAGAACAUGCAAACUCCACACAGGCGGGACCAGGGAUUGAACUCCGCUCCUCAGAACUGUGAGGCAGACGCUCUAGCUGGUUAAAUCUGUUUUGUAAAUAUGAUUGUGUUUACCUCAGAACAAACACAGAAAUGUACACAAACGGGCAUUAAAUGUUAUGAGCCACCAAAUAAGGCUGAAACUCUCAUUGCAUAGAUUAACCAUGGUGUGUAAGACAAUGCAAAAGAUGGGAAUUAAUUUCUCUGCUUGCCGAAGACACUGGCUCCCAGCCAGGAAGCCCCAUCUCUCCCCAUGAUGUGCGGGAGGCGCACCGAAACGAUCUAGCCCCGGCCGAACCUUUAGCCUGCCUAAAUCUUGUUCUGCCCCACUUGAGUGCACCUCGCUGAUUACCAAGUAGAAAUUGGGUUAUGCUAACGGUCACAGAAAUUCCAAGCUCUAGCAUCGCUCCCCGCACAUCCUCAUUCCACCCUUACGGCACGAGUUCAGCCUUCUUUACGAAUGUUUAUCUGUACCCUUUUGUAGUAAAGUCCCUCUGCACUAUUUAUCCUGUAGCUUUCCCUUGUAGAUUUAAUUAAACUUUCUCUAAAACUCCA